rnacentral:rRNA from 1 species
UACGGGGGGGCAAGCGUUGUUCGGAAUUACUGGGCGUAAAGGGCUCGUAGGCGGCCAACUAAGUCAGACGUGAAAUCCCCAGGCUUAACCUGGGAACUGCGUCUGAUACUGGAUGGCUUGAAUUCGGGAGAGGGAUGCAGAGUUCCAGGUGUAGCGGUGAAAUGCGUAGAUAUUUGGAGGAAUACCGGUGGCGAAGGCGGCAUCCUGGACCGAGAUUGACGCUGAUGAGCGAAAGCUAGGGGAGCAAACGGG